rnacentral:lncRNA from 1 species
UCUUGCUAUUUUAGAGGCAAAAACAUCAAUCAAAUCUGAAUAAUUUAGCUGCUCAACCAUUUCUUUUUCUAUUGAUAACAUAGUCAACCCGUUUAAUCUUUCUUGCGACAUAGUUGAUCGAAGAUAGGUCUUGAUCAACUUUAAUUUUGAGAAACUUCUUUCCGCAGAUACAACUGUAACCGGUAUGGUUAAUAAAAUUUGGUAAGCAGUAUAAGCAUUUAGAAAACAAACAUCCAAUGUCUUCAAAUAUUGUAGCACUUCAAUUGCUCUUCUUGCUUCACUUGGUAUAUAACAUCUCAAGACUUGUAACUUCGAACAUAAAUCAUCCCCACUGAUAUCCGAACGCCCAUUAUGUUGAAGAUAUUUCUCAAGAUUCAAACAAAAUUUCAACAAACGUGAAAAAGUUGCACCCCUUAACCUCUUCAAACUAAACAAAAAUCCAAAUGUGUCAUCAUAUUGUUUGAAUUGUUCAAAUCGGGUCUUCAUAGAAGAUAGAGCUUGAUCAAUUAUAAAAAUAAAGUACUCAACUCUAAAAGAUUCUUCUACUGAUUGUUUUACCUCAUCACUACUGCUUUCAUCAAAUUGUUUUUUCCUUCGAAUUAUGCGUUUUUCUGUAAAUACAGCUUCAAU